rnacentral:snRNA from 1 species
GGGUGUGAGGCUGAUCUGGCCGCAGCAUCUGUUUACCCCACUCAUCGCCAAGGCUGAGUUAGCGGAUCUGGCUGGCUAGGCAGCUGUCACCUCUCCUUCCUGACUACUCCACGUGUGUGCUCCCUGAGCUACGUGCUCAGACACAUAGACAGAGGAGGGCUGUCCUUCCAGCAAGGGUACAGAGAGGAGCUGGGGAUAUAGCUCAGCGGCACA